GUUUGAUCCUGGCUCAGGAUGAACGCUGGCGGCGUGCCUAAUACAUGCAAGUCGAGCGAACGGACGAGAAGCUUGCUUCUCUGAUGUUAGCGGCGGACGGGUGAGUAACACGUGGAUAACCUACCUAUAAGACUGGGAUAACUUCGGGAAACCGGAGCUAAUACCGGAUAAUAUUUUGAACCGCAUGGUUCAAAAGUGAAAGACGGUCUUGCUGUCACUUAUAGAUGGAUCCGCGCUGCAUUAGCUAGUUGGUAAGGUAACGGCUUACCAAGGCAACGAUGCAUAGCCGACCUGAGAGGGUGAUCGGCCACACUGGAACUGAGACACGGUCCAGACUCCUACGGGAGGCAGCAGUAGGGAAUCUUCCGCAAUGGGCGAAAGCCUGACGGAGCAACGCCGCGUGAGUGAUGAAGGUCUUCGGAUCGUAAAACUCUGUUAUUAGGGAAGAACAUAUGUGUAAGUAACUGUGCACAUCUUGACGGUACCUAAUCAGAAAGCCACGGCUAACUACGUGCCAGCAGCCGCGGUAAUACGUAGGUGGCAAGCGUUAUCCGGAAUUAUUGGGCGUAAAGCGCGCGUAGGCGGUUUUUUAAGUCUGAUGUGAAAGCCCACGGCUCAACCGUGGAGGGUCAUUGGAAACUGGAAAACUUGAGUGCAGAAGAGGAAAGUGGAAUUCCAUGUGUAGCGGUGAAAUGCGCAGAGAUAUGGAGGAACACCAGUGGCGAAGGCGACUUUCUGGUCUGUAACUGACGCUGAUGUGCGAAAGCGUGGGGAUCAAACAGGAUUAGAUACCCUGGUAGUCCACGCCGUAAACGAUGAGUGCUAAGUGUUAGGGGGUUUCCGCCCCUUAGUGCUGCAGCUAACGCAUUAAGCACUCCGCCUGGGGAGUACGACCGCAAGGUUGAAACUCAAAGGAAUUGACGGGGACCCGCACAAGCGGUGGAGCAUUUUNUUUAUUUCGAAGCAACGCGAAGAACCUUACCAAAUCUUGACAUCCUUUGACAACUCUAGAGAUAGAGCCUUCCCCUUCGGGGGACAAAGUGACAGGUGGUGCAUGGUUGUCGUCAGCUCGUGUCGUGAGAUGUUGGGUUAAGUCCCGCAACGAGCGCAACCCUUAAGCUUAGUUGCCAUCAUUAAGUUGGGCACUCUAAGUUGACUGCCGGUGACAAACCGGGAGGAAGGUGGGGAUGACGUCAAAUCAUCAUGCCCCUUAUGAUUUGGGCUACACACGUGCUACAAUGGGACAAUACAAAGGGCAGCGAAACCGCGAAGGUCAAGCAAAAUCCCCAUUAAAAG
rnacentral:rRNA from 1 species